UGCAAGGGCACUCUGUGUCACGUUGAUUAUUUUACCACAAGUGGAACAAUUUGUAACCUUGCUAUAAAAAUUUGGAUAUUUUUUUAAAAUUACAUAUUCUUA